rnacentral:rRNA from 1 species
UUAGGGAAGCGUGUGAGCCAUGUGCCAAGAAAAGCCGCUAUAGUGAUACACAUACCCGUACCGUAAACCGACACAGGUGGAUGAGGAGAGAAUCCUAAGGCCGACGGAAGAAGCAUUGUUAAGGAACUCGGCAAAAUGACCCCGUAACUUCGGGAGAAGGGGUGCCCUGUGAAAGCAGGGCCGCAGAGAAUAGGCUCAAGCAACUGUUUAGCAAAAACACAGGUCUAUGCGAAACCGAAAGGUGAGGUAUAUGGGCUGACGCCUGCCCGGUGCUGGAAGGUUAAGAGGAGAAGUCAGGCAACGAAGCUUCGAAUUUAAGCCCCAGUAAACGGCGGCCGUAACGAUAACGGUCCUAAGGUAGCGAAAUUCCUUGUCGGGUAAGUUCCGACCCGCACGAAAGGCGUAAUGAUUUGAGCACUGUCUCGACAAUGCAUCCGGUGAAAUUGAAGUACCAGUGAAGAUGCUGGUUACCUGCGCCAGGACGGAAAGACCCCAUGGAGCUUUACUCCAGCUUGAUACUGGGAUUCGAUACUGUAUGUACAGGAUAGGUGGGAGACGCUGAGCAUAGAACGCCAGUUUUAUGUGAGUCGCUGUUGGGAUACCACCCUUGCAGUAUUGGAUUUCUAACCUGCACCCAUGACCUGGGUGGGGGACAAUGUCUGGCGGGGAGUUUGACUGGGGCGGUCGCCUCCGAAAGGGUAUCGGAGGCGCUCAAAGGUUCCCUCAGAAUGGUUGGAAACCAUUCGAAGAGUGCAAAGGCAGAAGGGAGCUUGACUGUGACACCGACGGGUGGAACAGGUACGAAAGUAGGACUUAGUGAUCCGGUGGUAUAAAGUGGGAUUGCCAUCGCUCAACGGAUAAAAGCUACCCUGGGAUAACAGGCUUAUCACUCCCAAGAGUUCACAUCGACGGAGUGGUUUGGCACCUCGAUGUCGGCUCAUCGCAUCCUGGGGCUGUAGCAGGUCCCAAGGGUUGGGCUGUUCGCCCAUUAAAGCGGUACGCGAGCUGGGUUCAGAACGUCGUGAGACAGUUCGGUCCCUAUCCGGCGCAGGCGGAGGAUAUUUGAGAGGAGCUGUCCUUAGUACGAGAGGACCGGGAUGGACGGACCACUGGUGUAUCUGUUGGCUAUCAGAGCCAUGGCAGAGUAGCCAAGUCCGGCAGGGAUAAACGCUGAAGGCAUCUAAGCGUGAAGCCCCCCUCAAGAUGAGAUAUCCCUCAGAAAUGAGUAAGACCCCUUGAAGACUACGAGGUAGAUAGGAAUGAGGUGUAAGCACAGCAAUGAGUUCAGCUGACAUUUACUAAUCGGUCGAGGGCUUGUC